UAAAGGGCGUUGGUACCUGUUGAAAGAUUUUAUGUUUUAUAUGUUUUUAUUCGUUGUUUUAUUAUCUUUCAUUAACAAGCAUAUCAUGAAGUGUUCAUAUAUUUCAUAAGAUUUGCUGAACUUUUCCACUGUUGUGCAAGCUGACAGUUAACUCUACAACAUAAAUAAGUUAAACCGGAAACAGAUGCAGCACCCAAACCACAAGAGUUCAAAAGUGCACCACGUUUCCUAAAAAGAAGUAGCCAGACACACAUGUGACUCACACACUCCCACACACACAACCAUUGGAUUAGAGGAACUUCUAAAAGAGGAAAUGUGAUGUACUUGCAUACGCGAUGUAACCUAUAAAUAAAGAACUGUGCCUGCACUCAGGGUGUGGGUCUCGCCAGAGUCCUCACCCGUGCGCGGGGUCUCGCCAGAGGCCUCACGCAUGCACGUUGCUGUUAUUAUAUUCUAACUGUCUGAGUGUCUUUAUUCAACCUGAAGAAUGUCUUAUUAAAAAUAAACUCUUGACAUUUAAUUGGUCCUUCGAGUCCGGAUGUAGGACAUCGAAUUAUAACUAAUUUUAUGCUCCAACGGAGUGACCUCGUCGUUUCCUGACAUCGUGGAGAGCCCGCGCUGAAGUCUGUCGACAGCCUCUUUCCUAUGAAGGAGAAAAAGACCAACUGCGUGAAUUCGGGGUUGGCCAGCGUUCUUAGUAAGAGGUCCACGAUCCUGGGGAACGAGGAGGAAUCUCUGACCGGCACUUAUAUCAUCAUAACCAGUCUCUUCCAGGUUGAAACCAGGCGACUGGAUCCUGAUCAAGGUACUCCAGAGGAAAAACUGGAGCUCUCCGAGGUGGGAGGGCCCUUAUCAGGUCCUGCUCACAACACCGACAGCGUGCAAAAUCGCUGAAAGACCUUCCUGGAUCCACCAGAGCCACGCCAAAAAAGUACAAGGGGACACAAGCCCAGACACCAGUCCACCUAUCAUCUAGUGAUCUGUAAGUGGAGGAGAGGGCAGAUUGGGUAUACCCCGCCCUCUUGACUUCUCGCUUUCAGUCGACACACUAGGUGAUCUGGUGAACUUGGUCGACCUGAAGAAACCCCAUUGUAGCCCGAGCACCGACCUAGCCCCACCUGCCCGGUAGAGUAAAGGAAGAUCAGUCCAACCUGCAAAACCAGAAGAGCAACCCAUCACCCAAGUAACUACUCAGACACUCACAAACAAUGCCUGACAUAGACGUGCAAAAUGAACAUUCAGACAUUUCAGAUGGAGAGGACCCAGUCCCCAACAGGACUCGACGACGAUGCUGGUCAGAGGAAUGCCAACUAAUGCAUAAUUAUGUACCCCAUAACAAAAUUGAAAUGGCAUUCUUUGUAAACCUAAUACAAACUCUAGAAACAGUAAUAAAUACAAGUCUGCGUGCAUGUGCUCCAAAAGAACCAAUAAAGAGCUUAAUAACACUUCCGGUCACACCGCCCGAAAUAGCCCAUAACAUGACCAUGGUCUGCCUAUGGAGACUUAGAGUCCCAGAAAAGCAGGGUGUAUCUUUUGUUUAUCCAAAUAAGACACUGCAACCGGAAUCUUCCUGGCACAAGCUUAUAGCCCGAUAGCAACUGAGGAAGAAGAAGACUGUGUUUAAAAAUUUUCCUGUACUUCACAUGAUGUAGCAAUUGAAAAUGCGCGAGCAAGUGAUUGUCUACUGAAGUCUAUAGAGUAUGUGUGAAAUAUAUUAACAACAGGAGGGAAUGUUGAAAGAUUUUAUGUUUUAUAUGUUUUUAUUCGUUGUUUUAUUAUCUUUCAUUAACAAGCAUAUCAUGAAGUGUUCAUAUAUUUCAUAAGAUUUGCUGAACUUUUCCACUGUUGUGCAAGCUGACAGUUAACUCUACAACAUAAAUAAGUUAAACCGGAAACAGAUGCAGCACCCAAACCACAAGAGUUCAAAAGUGCACCACGUUUCCUAAAAAGAAGUAGCCAGACACACAUGUGACUCACACACUCCCACACACACAACCAUUGGAUUAGAGGAACUUCUAAAAGAGGAAAUGUGAUGUACUUGCAUACGCGAUGUAACCUAUAAAUAAAGAACUGUGCCUGCACUCAGGGUGUGGGUCUCGCCAGAGUCCUCACCCGUGCGCGGGGUCUCGCCAGAGGCCUCACGCAUGCACGUUGCUGUUAUUAUAUUCUAA